rnacentral:rRNA from 1 species
AGGACGAACGCUGGCGGCGUGCUUAACACAUGCAAGUCGAGCGGAAAGGGCCCUUCGGGGUACUCGAGCGGCGAACGGGUGAGUAACACGUGAGUAAUCUGCCCCUAGCUCUGGGAUAGCUCCGGGAAACCGGGAUUAAUACUGGAUACGACCACCUUAGACAUCUUUUGUGGUGGAAAGAAUUUCGGCUAGGGAUGAGCUCGCGGCCUAUCAGCUUGUUGGUGGGGUAACGGCCUACCAAGGCGACGACGGGUAGCCGGCCUGAGAGGGCGACCGGCCACACUGGGACUGAGACACGGCCCAGACUCCUACGGGAGGCAGCAGUGGGGAAUAUUGCGCAAUGGGCGAAAGCCUGACGCAGCGACGCCGCGUGGGGGAUGAAGGCCUUCGGGUUGUAAACCCCUUUCAGCAGGGACGAAGCGAAAGUGACGGUACCUGCAGAAGAAGCGCCGGCUAACUACGUGCCAGCAGCCGC